CUUUGCGUCAGAGCUCUGUGUUACAAAAAAAGGUGAAGUCUUACUCAAUUCAACAGUUUUUAUGCAAAGUCCUCACGGGGAAGAGACUGAUGCCCUGCAAUGCCUCAGGACUCUCCAGAAUGUUUUCACCAGCAAAAAGGCCCUCAGCAGAUGCAGCCUCUCGACCUUGAACUUUCUAGCCUCCAAAAUGGACUAUCGGUACUGAAACCCAGCAAGCUGAAAUCAGCAAAACAAGAUGGUCUUGCUAACUUGAGGAAGCUGUAGCAGCUGGAAGCUCCAGAGAGGAGGGGGCUCAGAGUCUGCACAUCAAUGGGGAGACAUCAUUCUGGCUGCAUUAUGAAUGGAUGGUUUGGAGGAAGAAUGUGGAUAGCUAAACAAGAAGGAGAAUAGAAAGAAACUACUCUUAAGACUAUUGCAAUAUCCAGUGUUAUCUCAGGACCAAGGAAUUAAUGGUGCAAUGUGCUUUGUUUCUGACUGCAGACUAUAAUGUUUAUUCCUAUUGGGGGCAGAGCAAGAUUUCAGUUUCUUUUCUCAGCAACAAGAAAAUACUCUGUCUGAAAUCAAGCAACUUCUGGGAAGACCAAGAGUGAUGGAAACUAGAGUUACAAAGCAAAAACCCUACAUCCUGAAUGCCCAGCCCGGUCAAUGAAAUUUUUCUGUCUCAUUUAUCAGCUAACUUGGUCCUCUUCCCCUGGGAACAAAACUGAGAAGGGUUAAGAGAUAAUGUGGAAACAAACUCCCCAGCACUUGCCUAAGAGGGCAGCUGUGUACCCAGACCUUCUUUCCUCUAUGUCAUUGUACUAGAAAGAGAGAGUUCCAUACUCUUUAAUCUGAAUAGUUGGCACUCACUUAAAAAAGAAUGCAGCCUGAUUCCUCUCUGCCCCUCUAGCUAUUUCCAGAAAGUUGUUCAUGGGAUGAAUUGAAAGCCAACAAAGGGAGUUGUUAGUACAUAUUUCCAGGAAUGAAGUUGUCUGGAUGCAGCUAAUGCCUCCAUAGAACUGACAGUGCUGAAUUUACGAAAUGGAAAGAGUUCUGGAAAAGCAAGAAAAAAAGUCUUGUUUGAAACCCCACGUCUACUGUAGGCACAGAAGGGAAUGGAGGCAUCUGAGCAUUUUAUUUUCCAUCUCUACAGCACCUCAGAACACCUACAUUUUAUUUUUUUUCUUCUCAGAAAUGUCUUAAUAAGAGGACUGCAGUGUACUCAAGUUUCCCAAUGACAGGGUAGGGAUGCCAACCUUCUCUUUCAUUGGCAGCUCAUAGUAUCCAAGUUUCUCAAAACCCUAAGCCAUCUUAUUUGUUCUUUGGAACUUUGUGGCCUACCACAGUGCAAUUCUCAUUCGGUGUUUAAUAAAAUAUUUGUUAGCUCUUUUCUAAUUGAGAAGGUUCUGUUCUUUUCGCCUCAAGAAAUCACUUAGAAUACAAAUAGCAGUGCACAAUAAUUAGAUUUCAUUGAAUGUAAUUGAUUUGAAUGUUCAUGAAACAGUGCCUCCAGUAUGUUUUGUUUCACUUAAACUUUGAUGACACUUGAGAAGUUGCCUUGCCUUACCUAUCUGCCACCCCACCACUCCUCAGCAUCCGAUAGGCUGCUGUUCCUGUGCCAUCACUGUUGUUUGUCUGAAAGCCUUUUAAUUCGCUGUGGGUGAAGUUGAAUAGGAG
rnacentral:lncRNA from 1 species